CGACGGCGGUGUUUGGCACCUCGAUGUCGGCUCAUCACAUCCUGGGGCUGAAGUAGGUCCCAAGGGUAUGGCUGUUCGCCAUUUAAAGUGGUACGCGAGCUGGGUUUAGAACGUCGUGAGACAGUUCGGUYCCUAUCUGCCGUGGGCGCUGGAGAACUGAGGGGGGCUGCUCCUAGUACGAGAGGACCGGAGUGGACGCAUCACUGGUGUUCGGGUUGUCAUGCCAAUGGCACUGCCCGGUAGCUAAAUGCGGAAGAGAUAAGUGCUGAAAGCAUCUAAGCACGAAACUUGCCCCGAGAUGAGUUCUCCCUGAGACUUAGAGUCUCCUGAAGGAACGUUGAAGACGACGACGUUGAUAGGCCGGGUGUGUAAGCGCAGCGAUGCGUUGAGCUAACCGGUACUAAUGAACCGUGAGGCUUAACCUUACAACGCCGAAGCUGUU
rnacentral:rRNA from 1 species